GUGAUCACUUCAGUGGCACAUAUACUGAAAUUGGAAUUAUAUAGAGAAGAUUAGCAUGGCCCCUGUGUAAGGAUGACAAGUAAAUUCUUAAAGAGUUCCACAUGGAG
rnacentral:snRNA from 1 species